GGAUGUGAGGGUGAUCUGGCUGCAACAUCUGUCACCCCGUUGAUCACCAGGGUUGAUUCGGCUGACCUGGCUGGCUAGACGGAUGUCCCCUUCCUCCCUCACCGCUCCAUGUGUGUCCCUCUGGAAGCUGCAUGCUAGGACGAAGAGGACAACCUUCUCGGAAGAGAGGAGGACGAGUCUUUAGGUCAAGGGUAUAUGAGUAGCUGUGCUCCCCUGUUAGAACCCCCAAACAAGCUCUCAAAACCAGGCUAAGUCAGCUCUUAGCUCCUGUCCUUAGUCUUGGCUACCAUAUAGCCUUAGACCAGAG
rnacentral:snRNA from 1 species